rnacentral:rRNA from 1 species
CGGAGGGGGCUAGCGUUGUUCGGAAUUACUGGGCGUAAAGCGCACGUAGGCGGCUUUGUAAGUUAGAGGUGAAAGCCCGGGGCUCAACUCCGGAAUUGCCUUUAAGACUGCAUCGCUAGAAUUGUGGAGAGGUAAGUGGAAUUCCGAGUGUAGAGGUGAAAUUCGUAGAUAUUCGGAAGAACACCAGUGGCGAAGGCGACUUACUGGACACAUAUUGACGCUGAGGUGCGAAAGCGUAGGGAGCAAACAGGAUUAGAUACCCUGGUAGUCCACGCCGUAAACGAUGAUGACUAGCUGUCCGGGCACUUAGUGCUUGGGUGGCGCAGCUAACGCGUUAAGUCAUCCGCCUGGGGAGUACGGCCGCAAGGUUA